CGGCGAGUGAAGCGGGAAGAGCCCAAAUUUGAAAUCUGCUGCCGUUUCGGUAGCCGAGUUGUAGAUUUGAGGUGCGGUCAACUUGGGGCGCGUGUGUCUGAGUUUCCUUGGAACAGGGCAUCGCGGAGGGUGAGAAUCCCGUGUGGCGCAGCGCGCCCCUUGUAAUACGACGCACUUUUGAGGAGUCGGGUUGUUUGGGAAUGCAGCCCAAAAUGGGUGGUAAAUUUCAUCCAAGGCUAAAUAUUUGCACGAGACCGAUAGCGAACAAGUACCGUGAGGGAAAGAUGAAAAGCACUUUGGAAAGAAGGUUAAAGAGUACGUGAAACCGUUGCAGGGGAAGCGAUUGGGACUUGUUUGAGUGGUAUGCGCAACGAUCAACGCGUGGUAGCCCGCGUGUGCACUCGUGGCGUGUGCUUGACAGCGUGUGUUUUGAGCGUGCUAGGCGGGGUGUGGUGCUUGUUGGCCCAGGGUGCUUGUCGCCUUGGGUCGAACCCACGCUCAGUAGAGUGCACGUUUGGGACACAGGUUUUUCUUUUGUGAGGCGUUCUUUGGUCACUUUGCUGGCUUUCGGUGCGUUUAUUCGUGUGUGCGGGUCAGGCAACUGAGGCGUACGUGCGGCGUGCUGGAAUUCAUGGUAGAGGGCACACCCGUCUCCUGGACGCUGUCUUUUUAGCAAGGCCAACCGACCCGUCUUGAAACACGGACCAAGGAGUCUACCAUACGCGCGAGUCUUUGGGUGUAGAAACCCGCGGGCGCAAUGAAAGUGAAAGGGAGCGAGCGGCGUCGAGAGGUGCCGUGCAGCAUCGACAGGUUGGGCGUGUUGCGCUCUGAGCGUGCGGCCGGCCUAGUUUGAGCGUGUAUGGUGGGACCCGAAAGAUGGUGAACUAUGCCUGAAUAGGGUGAAGCCAGAGGAAACUCUGGUGGAGGCUCGUAGCGGUUCUGACGUGCAAAUCGAUCGUCAAAUUUGGGUAUAGGGGCGAAAGACUAAUCGAACCAUCUAGUAGCUGGUUCCCACCGAAGUUUUCCUCAGAAUAGCAGAAGCUUUGUGAGCAGUUUUAUCGGGUAAAGCGAAUGAUUAGAGGCCUUGGGGAUGCAAGAUCCUCAACCUAUUCUCAAACUUUCAAUAGGUAAGACGGGGCGGUUGCUUGAGUGAAUUGCCCUCAACUUUUACAAAAUGGGAGCUUCUAGUGGGCCAUUUUUGGUAAGCAGAACUGGCGAUGCGGGAUGAACCGAACGCGAGGUUAAGGUGCCGGAGUGGACGCUCAUCAGACACCACAAAAGGUGUUAGUACAUCUUGACAGCAGGACGGUGGCCAUGGAAGUCGGAAUCCGCUAAGGACUGUGUAACAACUCACCUGCCGAAUGUACUAGCCCUGAAAAUGGAUGGCGCUCAAGCGUC
rnacentral:rRNA from 1 species